rnacentral:misc_RNA from 1 species
GAUGAAGAACGUAGCGAAAUGCGAUACGUAGUGUGAAUUGCAGAAUUCAGUGAAUCAUCGAAUCUUUGAACGCACAUUGCACCUCUCGGUAUUCCGGGAGGUAUGCCUGUUCGAGCGUCAUUUGUACCCUCAAGCUCUGCUUGGUGUUGGGUGUUUGUUCCGCCUCUGUGUGUGAACUCGCCUCAAAACAAUUGGCAGCCGGCGUACUUGUUUCGGAGCGCAGCACAUUUUGCGAUCCAGAUCAACGUACAGCGGCAUCCAAGAAGCCUUAUUUAACGCUCUUGACCUCGGAUCAGGUAGGGAUACCCGCUGAACUUAAGCAUAUGAAUAAGCGGAGGA